UGUCCCCUUCCAAAGGUGCAAAACUCUUUGAAAUUUGAGAUGUUUCACUAUUUGCUUUCUUUGCAGUCUUAACAUUCUCAAUUCUCUCCUACAUAAAAAGAGCAUACAAAAAGUUAUAUGAGUAAUAUUAUUUUAUUUUUAAAAAUAAAUCUAUAAUUAAGAGCGUAAGAGAAUAAAUUACAAUAAUAGCUACUGCCUC
rnacentral:lncRNA from 1 species